rnacentral:misc_RNA from 1 species
GAUGAAGAACGCAGCGAAAUGCGAUAAGUAAUGUGAAUUGCAGAAUUCAGUGAAUCAUCGAAUCUUUGAACGCACAUUGCGCCCGCCAGUAUUCUGGCGGGCAUGCCUGUUCGAGCGUCAUUUCAACCAUCAAGCCCCAGGCUUGUGUUGGGGACCUGCGGCUGCCGCAGGCCCUGAAAACCAGUGGCGGGCUCGCUGUCACACCGGGCGUAGUAGAUUUUAUCUCGCUCAGGGCGUGCUGCGGGUUCCGGCCGUUAAAAAGCCUUAUUUACCCAAGGUUGACCUCGGAUCAGGUAGGAAGACCCGCUGAACUUAAGCAUAUCAAUAAGCGGAGGA